UACGCAGGGUGCGAGCGUUAAUCGGAAUUACUGGGCGUAAAGCGUGCGCAGGCGGUUUUGUAAGCCAGAUGUGAAAUCCCCGGGCUCAACCUGGGAAUGGCAUUUGGGACUGCAAGGCUGGAGUACGGCAGAGGAGACUGGAAUUCCUGGUGUAGCAGUGAAAUGCGUAGAUAUCAGGAGGAAUACCGAUGGCGAAGGCAGGUCUCUGGGCUGAUACUGACGCUCAUGCACGAAAGCGUGGGGAGCAAACAGG
rnacentral:rRNA from 1 species